rnacentral:tRNA from 1 species
AGCGGCAAAAAGGGUACU